rnacentral:rRNA from 1 species
AGAGUUUGAUCCUGGCUCAGGGUUAACGCUGGCGGCGUGCCUAACACAUGCAAGUCGAACGGUUCUNAGCGCGAGCUUAGGAUAGUGGCGAACGGGUGAGUAAAAGGUAGGAAUCUACCCCUUGGACGGAGAUAGCUACUGGAAACGGUAGGUAAACUUCGAUAAGCCCGAGAGGGGAAAGUGGUGAGACAGCCGAGGGAUGAGCCUACUCUCCAUCAGGUAGUUGGUGAGAUAAAAGCUUACCAAGCCGAUGACGGAUAACCGGUGUGAGAGCAUGAACGGUCACAAGGGCACUGANAGACGGGCCCUACUCCUACGGGAGGCAGCAGUGGGGAAUCUUGGACAAUGGGCGAAAGCCUGAUCCAGCGACGCCUCGUGGAGGAAGAAGUCCUUCGGGAUGUAAACUUCUGAACUAGCCNAAUAAAAGGCCUGUGGACACACAGGAGAAGAAAGUAGGCUAGGAAAAGUCCCGGCUAACUACGUGCCAGCAGCCGCGGUAAGACGUAGGGGGCAAGCGUUACCCGGAAUUACUGGGCGUAAAGGGGGCGUAGGCGGUAAAAGAAGUCAUCUGUGAAAACCUAUUGCUCAACGAUAGGCUAGCGGAUGAAACUGAAUUACUUGAGGGCACCAGAGGUAGACGGAAUUACCCGAGUAGGGGUGAAAUCCGCAGAUACGGGUAGGAACGCCGGUGGAGAAGUCGGUUUACUGGGGUGCACCAGACGCUGAGGCCCGAAAGCAAGGGGAGCAAACCGGAUUAGAUACCCGGGUAGUCCUAGCCGUAAACGAUGCUCACUAGGUGUAGGGAGUGAUAAACUCUCUGUGCUGAAGCGAACGCGCUAAGUGAGCCGCCUGGGGAGUACGUCCGCAAGGAUGAAACUCAAAUGAAUUGACGG